GACAGAGGCCCCAAGCGUUAGGCGGAAUCACUGGGCUUAAAGCGUGUGUAGGCGGAUCGUUAAGUGUCUUGUGAAAUCCCACGGCUCACCCGUGGAACUGCUGGGCAUACUGGCGAUCUUGGGCCAACUAGGGGCAGUCGGAACAAGCGGUGGAGCGGUGAAAUGCGUAGAUAUCGCUUGGAACGCCAACGGUGAAAACAGGUUGCUGGGGGUGUGCUGACGCUGAGACACGAAAGCCAGGGGAGCGAACGGG
rnacentral:rRNA from 1 species